ACGGGAGGCAGCAGUGAGGAAUAUUGGUCAAUGGACGAGAGUCUGAACCAGCCAAGUGGCGUGCAGGAUGACGGCCCUAUGGGUUGUAAACUGCUUUUGUACGGGAAUAAAGUGACCUACGUGUAGGUUUUUGCAUGUACCGUAAGAAUAAGGACCGGCUAAUUCCGUGCCAGCAGCCGCGGUAAUACGGAAGGUCCGGGCGUUAUCCGGAUUUAUUGGGUUUAAAGGGAGCGUAGGCGGCCUUUUAAGCGUGUUGUGAAAUGUCCCGGCUCAACCGUGGCACUGCAGCGCGAACUGGAGGGCUUGAGUGCGCCGGAAGUAGGCGGAAUUCGUUGUGUAGCGGUGAAAUGCUUAGAUAUGACGAAGAACUCCGAUUGCGAAGGCAGCUUACUGUCGCGUAACUGACGCUGAAGCUCGAAAGUGCGGGUAUCGAACAGGAUUAGAUACCCUGGUA
rnacentral:rRNA from 1 species